GCCGAAAUAGCUCAGUUGGGAGAACUCAUUUGGGAGAGUGUUAGACUGAAGAUCUAAAGGUCCCUGGUUCAAUCCCAGGUUUCGGCA